rnacentral:rRNA from 1 species
UACGUAGGGUGCAAGCGUUAAUCGGAAUUACUGGGCGUAAAGCGUGCGCAGGCGGUUAUGUAAGACAGUUGUGAAAUCCCCGGGCUCAACCUGGGAACUGCAUUUGUGACUGCAUGGCUAGAGUGCGGCAGAGGGGGAUGGAAUUCCGCGUGUAGCAGUGAAAUGCGUAGAUAUGCGGAGGAACACCGAUGGCGAAGGCAAUCCCCUGGGCCUGCACUGACGCUCAUGCACGAAAGCGUGGGGAGCAAACAGG